CCUUAAAACUGCCAAGGUCGAGAAGUGCCCUUGACCGGUGCGUAGGGAUCCGCUGUGCAUCCCUCCGCUCUCGCUGCAGGGAGAUGGCUCAGCGACUUCUUCUGAGGAGGUUCCUGACCUCCAUAAUCUCCGGGAAGCCCUCUCAGAGUCGGUGGGCACCCCUUGCCUCCAGGGCCCUGCAGACCCCACAGUACAGUCCUAGUUACCUGGCAGGAACACCCAGCCAAGCCCGGUCUAUAUACACCACCAGAGUCUGUUCAACAACCUUUAACAUCCAGGAUGGACCUGACUUUCAAGACCGAGUUGUCAAUAGUGAGACACCAGUGGUUGUGGAUUUCCAUGCACAGUGAGUCCUGGGGGUUCGUGGAAGACUGGGGUAUCACUUAUUCAGAUAUUUGUUUAUUGAGAGGCUUCUGUGUCUCAGUACUCCAUUUGAUACUUCUCAUACAUGNAGGUGUCAGCUGUACCCACCGUACUGGCCAUGAAGAAUGGGGACGUGGUGGACAAGUUUGUGGGGAUCAAGGAUGAAGACCAGCUGGAGGCCUUCCUGAAGAAGCUGAUUGGCUGACAAGCAGGGACGCAUCCUGACUGCCCCUGCCUGCUGGGGCCCCAAGGCGCCAGAGCAGCGGACACGUGUUGGGCUAUGAGCAUCCUGCAGGCCCUUGAUUCUGGAAGGCUCAAGACACUACCCUCCCUCACCAUUAGCUGGCCCUUUGGUUCUCUGAGGCUUCACUGUGAAAAAAAACUGGACCAAUAAAGCUAGGGUUUGCACUGUCA